CACGGCCCAAACUCCUACGGGAGGCAGCAGUAGGGAAUCUUCCGCAAGGGACAAAAGUCUGACGGACCACCGCCCCGGGAGUGAUGAAGGUUUUCGGAUCGUAAAAUUCUGUUGUUAGGGAAAAACAAGUAUCGUUCGAAUAGGGCGGUACCUUGACGGUACCUAACCAAAAAGCCACGGCUAAUUACGUGCCACCAGCCGCGGUAAUACGUAGGUGGCAAGCGUUGUCCGGAAUUAUUGGGCGUAAAGCGCGCGCAGGCGGUUUCUUAAGUCUGAUGUGAAAGCCCACGGCUCACCCGUGGAGGGUCUUUGGAAACUGGGAGACUUGAGUGCAGAGAAGAAAACCGGAUUUCCACUUGUACCGGUGAAAUGCGUAAAGAUGUGGAGGACCCCAGUGGCGAAGGCGGUUCUUUUGGUUCUGUAACUGGACGCUUGAGGCGCGAAAGCGGUGGGGAGCGAACAGGGAUUAAGAUACCCUGGGUAAGUCCACGCCGUAAACGAUGAAGUGCUAAGUGGUUAGAGGGUUUCGGCUCUUUAGUGGCUGGCGGCUAAACGCAUUAAGCACUCCGCCUGGGGGAGGUACGGCCGCAAGGCUUGAAA
rnacentral:rRNA from 1 species